rnacentral:rRNA from 1 species
GCAGUCGAGCGGAGAGAGGUAGCUUGCUACUGAUCUUAGCGGCGGACGGGUGAGUAAUGCUUAGGAAUCUGCCUAUUAGUGGGGGACAACAUUUCGAAAGGAAUGCUAAUACCGCAUACGUCCUACGGGAGAAAGCAGGGGAUCUUCGGACCUUGCGCUAAUAGAUGAGCCUAAGUCGGAUUAGCUAGUUGGUGGGGUAAAGGCCUACCAAGGCGACGAUCUGUAGCGGGUCUGAGAGGAUGAUCCGCCACACUGGGACUGAGACACGGCCCAGACUCCUACGGGAGGCAGCAGUGGGGAAUAUUGGACAAUGGGCGCAAGCCUGAUCCAGCCAUGCCGCGUGUGUGAAGAAGGCCUUAUGGUUGUAAAGCACUUUAAGCGAGGAGGAGGCUACUUUAGAUAAUACCUAGAGAUAGUGGACGUUACUCGCAGAAUAAGCACCGGCUAACUCUGUGCCAGCAGCCGCGGUAAUACAGAGGGUGCAAGCGUUAAUCGGAUUUACUGGGCGUAAAGCGCGCGUAGGCGGCUAAUUAAGUCAAAUGUGAAAUCCCCGAGCUUAACUUGGGAAUUGCAUUCGAUACUGGUUAGCUAGAGUGUGGGAGAGGAUGGUAGAAUUCCAGGUGUAGCGGUGAAAUGCGUAGAGAUCUGGAGGAAUACCGAUGGCGAAGGCAGCCAUCUGGCCUAACACUGACGCUGAGGUGCGAAAGCAUGGGG